GACGAACGCUGGCGGCGUGCUUAACACAUGCAAGUCGAACGGAAAGGCGCUGCUUUUGCGGGGUGCUCGAUUGGCGAACGGGGGAGUAACACGUGAGUAUCCUGCCCUUGACUUUGUGAUAACUUCAGGAAACUGCGGCGAUUACCCGAUAGGAGCUCUUGCUGCACGGUGGGGGUUGGAAAGUUUCGGCGGUUGGGGAUAGUCUCGCUGGUUAUGAGCUUGUUUGUGGAGUAGUGGCUUACCAAGGCUUCGACGGGUAGCCGGCCUGGGAGGGGAGACGGCGACAUUGCGCCUGCGGUACGGCGCAGACUCCUACGGUAGGCAGCAGUGGGGAAUAUUGCACAAUGGGGGGACGCCUGAUGCAGCGACGCCGCGUGCGGGAUGCCGGCCUUCGAGUUGUGAACCGCUGUCGAAUGUGACGAAGCGUGCGUGACGGUAAUGGGUAAAGAAGCACCGGCUAACUACGUG
rnacentral:rRNA from 1 species